rnacentral:rRNA from 1 species
UACGUAGGGUGCGAGCGUUAAUCGGAAUUACUGGGCGUAAAGCGUGCGCAGGCGGUUCGUUAAGUCAGCUGUGAAAGCCCCGGGCUUAACCUGGGAAUGGCGGUUGAAACUGGCGAACUUGAAUCUGGCAGAGGGGGGUGGAAUUCCACGUGUAGCAGUGAAAUGCGUAGAGAUGUGGCGGAACACCGAUGGCGAAGGCAGCCCCCUGGGCUGAGAUUGACGCUCAGGCACGAAAGCGUGGGGAGCAAACAGG